ensembl:lncRNA
CGCCCCCCGCCGCCCUUCGGCGUGUGCCGCCGCUCCGGGACGCGCCCCGGGCGGAGCACCCGCACCUGUCCGCGGGGACGGGGGGACGUGGAGUGCUGUGUUUGUUUCUGUUCGCACCCGUUCGAUGGACGCGUUUCAGCCCCACGUGCUCUGCCAAAACGCAGCGUGUCUCCCCAUUGAGCCAGCGGCUGGAAAAGCUCCCGAUCCUCGCGGAAGGCACCGAAGGGAAGGCUCCGAAAUCCCGGAGCUGGUGUGUGUGAUACUUUCAGGAUUAGAGACACUCAGGAAAGAGCCAUUGCCUGUUCUCAUCUGGCUGAAACCAACCGACCGACCAACCAACCAACCCCAAACCUUUAUUGAUGAAGUUCUGUCACUCUGAGCGGGCUGUCACCUGCGGCACAAAAGCAGACGGCUCCGUCUGACUGCAGCCUGGGCUGCGUUCUGUGUGCCUUCAUCUCUCGGCACGGCCGCGCCCCACUCAGGCGCUGCUAUUCAUUCAAACGGGACGAGCCCCACUGCGCUGACAUUAACAGGGACUGGCUUUUCCCGACCUUGACAUGCCGUCAAAAGAACCUUGGCCAGGAUCAGCUCUUCAGUGCAGUACCUCGCUGGAAGAAAGAACUUCAAGAAUGCAUUUUGAGAUGCGUGCCAUCAUCUUAACAGAAGGCGAUUCCUGGAGGUUAUGAAGCGGUGCGAUAGCUGCUUGGUUUAACAGCUGCUCAGCGUUACCGCCGUGUUCCCCUCUUAUUGGCAAUGCUGUCUGCUUUUGGCCAAGGGGUGGCAGAAGCACCAGGCAGGAGCUGUGCCAGCUUUGGGCUGAGGUCCUGGUGAGGACCUUCUCGUGCUGGUUCUGAGCUAAGCAGUGUCUCUGCAGCACCUUUCUGUGGGAUGGGGAAGCUUUUCCAGCUUAGCCUAGGAGCUAACAGGGAAUGGUUUAAAACUGAGGCAGGGGAGGUUUAGAUUGGAUAUUAGGAGGAAGUUUUUCACCCAGAGGGUGGUGACACAUUGGAACAGAUUGCCCAUGGAGGCUGUGGAUGCCCCAUCCCUGGAGGCAUUCAAGGCCGGGCUGGAUGUGGCUCUGGGCAGCCUGGUCUGCUGGUUGGCGACCCUGCACAUAGCAGGGGGAUGAAACUCAUGAAACUCAAUGAUCACUGUGGUCCUUUCCAACCCAGGCCAUUCUAUGAUUCUAUGAUGUGAUUCUCUCUGUUAGAGAGGAGAUGUGAUGUGAGGUAAAACGUUUGGUUCUGCUGGGCUCGAUGCUCUUCCUCAUGCACAAAACCUACAGAAGUGGGCUGCCAUAGCGCCAAAAUAUCCUCAUGAGUAUAUGUGAGGAGCAAAUUGAAGCUAAAAUUGUCUCUUAAGCUAUCAAGAGCCAGGGAAACAGCUCUCUGUUCUCACCUUCUUUCAUCAGCACAACUGGUUGCAUCUCCUCAGCAAGGAGUGGAGCAUCCUUGUCAGGACUGGAUUUAGUCUAGAAAAUUACAUUUUACUCCCUUAUUCUUCUUUCCCAUGUGGAUGUUUAGUUCUAAUUUUGAGUUUCCUGAGCAACAUUCCUGCAGGUUGUUUUUUUUUUUUUUUUUUUUCCAUUUCGCUAUUUAUCUGUAUAUGGCACUCUGAUGCUAUCCUUCAUUUCUUUUCCAUUUUCCACGUCUUUGUUUUGAUGUAGAGCUCCUGAUAAAUGAAGACAUACUGUCUGAGCUUUAGUGAUCAGAAGAACACUAUGUCCCAUCCCUGGAGGCGCUCAAGGCCAGGUUGGAUGGGCCCAUGGGCAGCCUGAGCUGGUGGGGGGCAGCCCUGCCCAUGGCAGGGGUUGGGGAGGCGUGGGCUUUGAGGCCCUCUUCAAACCAAACCCUCUGUGGUUCUGUGAUUCUAUGAUCCUGAUUCUACUAUUCUAUGACUGAUUCUAUGAUUCUGUGAAAACUUGGGUAUGGCUUCCUAUGUGAUCUCUUACCGGAACGAAAACAGCCCCCGUGUUGUUCCUUUGCCCCGUCCCCAUCCCACUUGUAGGAGAAAAAUCUUUCAGCUGGGAUGGUGCCAGCAGAAGGAUGCACCCGUAUCACCAAACCCCAGAGUUCUGUCAGUGGGAUCCGGCAACAGAAGAGACCCCCAGUCCUGAGGCGUUCACAUUCUGCAGAGCGACCAUUUUGAUGACGCAACAAACUUUUGCAUGGUGACAACAUCUGCCAACUUGGAAAGUCCACGCCAGAAACUUGGCGAGAUUCCUCCUCCGUUCGUCAUGAUUUCGGGGGGCCGCAGCCCUCUCGCCUCUCGCUGGGACUCACGCUGACGGAGAAACAGCUGAACUCUGCAUUUGGGGGAACGCAUCAAAGCCCCGGGCCCGUCCGGCACCGUCCCUGGCAGCCGUGGUGUCAAAGGUUGCUGCGAGCACCUCCCCGGGUGCCCGGUGGCUUUGUGCGAGAGGGCGGCCCCAGCAGAUGGCCCGAAUGCGCCCCUCAGCCGGGCAGAGAGGGACGGCAGCACAGAGCCAUAGAUGUCUCAUUAGCAAACGGGGGGGGGGGGGGGGGGGGGGGGGGGAAAGCAAGGAUGAGAAAAAAAGAUAAAAAGAAUACACAAAGCCAUUUACAUAUUUACAUUGUUUCUCCCUCAUUUUAGAUUCUCCUUUAGCUGAAGUGUCAGUGUGCUUGCUUUUCUCCUUCUGUUUGUAUGUUUACUUGUGCUAAAUAGAUUAUGGUAAUCAGGCACAUAAAUGCAUGCAACUGUUAUUAUGGCAUUUUAAUCACAGAGUUUUUCACUGGAAGCCUUCAUUAGAAUUCUCAUAAUCUCACUUGUUAGUGUAACAAACAGCAAUAAAUGCCAAGGAACUCGGAUUAAGUCAGAGACAUUCAGACAUUAAAGGAGGAAUAUGGAAAUGCUGUGAAAUCUCCGCAUUAUUUAUUGAAAUGUCACAUAAACAGUUCAGGACUUUCAAUAUCUUACUCAUUACAGGGAUAGGGCAUGCGGCCACCUGAAGAUAGCAAUUAGGGUUUUUUAGGCAGUACGGUGACCAUAUGUCUCUCAUAGUUCCUCUCCAACUUCGCUGCACUCACGGCUGCCCGGUAGACAGUUGGACUCAACGAUCGUAGAGGCCUUUUCCGACCUUAGUGGUUCUAUGGUUUCUAACUUUGUAUUUACGGGUGAAGUCGAGCCCUGAGGCACUUCGAUGGGGCAGGGGGAUGCUGGGCCUUCUCUGAGGGGAUUCCCUUCUGCUGAUAACAUUGUGAGGAACAGAAAAUCGCUGCUUUUUGCAUGCAAGUCCUCCCGUCAAUUUCAUACGGCACCAUAUAAAGGCCACCUCCUACUCAUGAAUAUGCACAGAACUCUGCCCUCUUGGCCCCUUGCCACUGCCGAUGUAAAACACUUGAGCAGCAAAGUUAUUCAAAGUGUCUUUUUUUUUUUUUUUUUAACCCUUUUCCUUUUGUGUUUUUCCCUUUUAAGAAGAAGCAGGAAAACUGAAUGCAAAAAGCGAAUGCGGUCAUAUUGGAUUUCCCACCGUUGGCAUCACUGUGUGGCUCUCGCAUCCAUUUGAGAUGUACCCUCCCAGAUGUGGGCAAAUAAGAUGCUGAAAUAGAAGAACGGUGUGAGCUGGGAAUGGGCUGCUCUCAUGCCUUCAGCAUCAGCCCUGAAGUUAAACUCUGUGUAGCUGCUGGAUCACCCAGCAUUUUUAAUGCCGAUUGAAGUGCACAGAAUUCAUGUGGGCUAUCUAAAGUACAGGUAUUUAUGCUCUGAAUCUGAAGUUUUUGAGGUCUUUUGCUCUCCCCGUCCUAAAAUGCAAACCAUCCAGAAGGGAUUUACUCUUCAUAGAAACUGAUGCGAAGGUGAGGCCACUUCGUUCCAGACUCCCCCCUUGAAGCCCUGAGGAAAUCUCUCUGCAGAGUGAUGUAUAGAAACAUUUUCAUAAAAUCAUAGGAUCAUGAAGGCUGGAAAAAACUUCUACGAUCACCCAGUCCAACUGUCAGCCUAUUGCCCCCAUGCCCACUGACCACAUCCCUCAGUGCCACAUCCACACAGCUCUUGAACACCUGCAGGGAUGGUGACUCCACCACCUCCCUGGGCAGCCAAUUUUGUUAGAUCCAGUUGCCCUUCGGCCCCAUUUGAUGCUUCAGGAGCCCCUCUGUGCCCAGAAGAUGAGCCCUCCUGGUUUGCUUUUGGUGUUUGCCACAUAUUUUUGGAAAUGUGGCUCUGAUUCUGUGCAUUUCCCAUCACAAUGCUCCACAGACAGCCCUUUCACAAGCCACUGAGAUGCAGAAAGGUAUUCCUCGCUUAGCGGGGGUUUUAUAUAUUUUCAGAAAGAAAAAAUAAAGAGCAGAGAUUCCUUACCUUUGGUAAUGUUCUGGCAGAGGUUUUGAUCUUUUGCACAGCAUGCUGAAGUUAUUACCUUGGGCUCUUUGCGCUAUUCCUCCUGCAUGAAGCCGCCUUCCGCCAACCCACCAACCCUGCUAGCCGGAUCCUAGUGCACCUCACCUGAACCACACAGAACAAGGCUCUCGCAGAAGGUUCUGAGGGAUCUCCUUGCCAAACCCCAAAGGCUUCCUGCCCUUCUGGGGCCGCCUCUAGUGACGGCAUCAUCCCAACGGCAUGCAAAGAAGCAAGGGGGCCAUCUAGACAGGACAGCUGCUGACCUGUUCCAGUAGACUUGAAUCCAGCAAAGUCUCACUUUCUCCAAGGAAGAAAGAUGUAGGAAUCUGAUCCUAAGGUCUACCAGUAAGGGCUUUAGUGAUGCUGGUUGCCCCCUUCUUCACUGGAGGGGCACAUGUGGGUGAUUCAGUGCCUGGUAUGUGCAGCCCCUGAGGUCACUGGGUGGGCAGGGUUGGGGCAUGCUCUGCUUCCCUCUUCCUCUUGCUAUGUUUACUGUCGGCUGAGCUUUUUCAGGAGUGGGCUGAACGUGCUUCUCUGUGUCUGCCUGCAUUCCUUGCAGGGGAGCAGGUCUGCUCUGCCUCAAUGACUAGUGACACACACCGGUAUGAGGUGCUGGGUGAAAGGUAGGGGUUUGUGACAGCCCUGGGCCUGUCUGGCUGCUCCCCUUGCUGGAG